rnacentral:rRNA from 1 species
AACGAACGCUGGCGGCAGGCUUAACACAUGCAAGUCGAGCGCCCCGCAAGGGGAGCGGCAGACGGGUGAGUAACGCGUGGGAAUCUACCCAUCUCUACGGGAUAACUCCGGGAAACUGGAGCUAAUACCGUAUACGUCCGAGAGGAGAAAGAUUUAUCGGAGAUGGAUGAGCCCGCGUUGGAUUAGCUAGUUGGUGGGGUAAAGGCCUACCAAGGCGACGAUCCAUAGCUGGUCUGAGAGGAUGAUCAGCCACACUGGGACUGAGACACGGCCCAGACUCCUACGGGAGGCAGCAGUGGGGAAUAUUGGACAAUGGGCGCAAGCCUGAUCCAGCCAUGCCGCGUGAGUGAUGAAGGCCCUAGGGUUGUAAAGCUCUUUCACCGGUGAAGAUAAUGACGGUAACCGGAGAAGAAGCCCCGGCUAACUUCGUGCCAGCCGCCGCAGUAAUAC